UUUAUAGGCGAGUGAUAUGAGAGCCAAAUUUACAUUUUUAAUGCACCUACCUAACACACGGCUAAAUUAUAUAUCACUGGAAAGCUAAGAAUGUGUACUUUCUAAAUAUCCCGGUCGUCAAAAGAAAUUAUGGUGCAUUUUUUUUUAAAUCGAGGUCAAAGGUCAUGGGUGCAAUUUCAAUUCACGGAUACUUCCAGUAGAAAAAUCGAGUCAAAACAAAUGCAAAAAUGAAACAAUUUUAUAGGAAUGCUGUAUUACUGUUGGGAAAAUAUAUUUCUAUCAUAGUAUUAAUUAAUUUUGGUUGAUUUUAACGGUAACGCAUGUUACGUAACGUUUUCUCUCGGAGUCUUUGAAAAUCAACCAUUAAGUCACACAAAUGUAUCUGUAGUCGCCCUUGCAUUAUCUAAAUCUUAUAAUACCUCCAUAUCAUUUGAUUGCACGUAUUUACAAACAUAUAUCUGCAAAUUUGAUAUAAAUAAUCCGAAACAAAAUAUUUGAAGCAAGGGGAAAAUAUAACAUAUGACGUAUUUUUAAUUGUUUAGAAAGUCCCAUGAUGAGCUGUACAUUAAAAUUGAGGAAGCGUAUGGUCUCCUGUUAGUUUGAAAGCCUACCAACCGCUUCAAGAUCAGACAACCAUAGGGCGGAUUUUUUUUUUUAUUAUUGUAGUGCAAUAUGUUGAGUCUGGAUCAUACCGCAAUUUCAUUUACAUCACUAAAUCAGAUAUGAUAAGAGUACUAACUAACAUUACUAAAAUGAGUAAAGUGCUACUAGUAUAUUUAUAUCAACAAAUUGACAAUUUUAAUAUAAAACAUCACAAGGAAAAUAUGACCACUCAUUGUACGUCAAACUGUGUUUGAUUUUACUUUAGUCGGCCGCCGUGUAUCUUGAGAUAUCUUAUUAAUCAAACAACAC
rnacentral:lncRNA from 1 species